UGUUUCCCCUGUUUUCCAGUUCUAAAUUCAAAUUUGUUGUGGUAGGCUGUAUUCAGGUGUCUACCCUAUGCCACCAUCUUGGUUUCUCAUGCUUGCUUUUUAUGACGUGCCAGUUAUCAAUAUAUGCAAAAAAAAGAAAAAGAAAAAAGAUUUCCUUUAACAGGAAAUCCCUGUUGUACACAAGUCAGCUUUCUUCAAUGUUUCUAAACAGUUUAGUAAUUCAAAAUUUGAAUCCUCUUGAGAGUCCUUAAAUAACAUUUAGAAGUGGACAAAAAAGAAAACCUAGAUCUUUUCUAGAAAAUGAGACCUCCCAAAUGCCAUAGAAAUCAAGACUUAAUCCCCAAGUCACAGGUAGGUACAUUUAGCACUUUUAAAAAGUGGUAACAAUGAGUAUUAUUAUUAUCAAGGGGAGAGCACAAGAGAGGAAAGGAUUGAAAAACCAUCCUUCUGAAUUCAAAAGGGAAUUGGAAACUUCCUUAGUCUUUCAACAAAGGGAAUGAUUCUGGUAUUUUCUAUAUCACAUAGUUACUGCAAAUGAGAAUAUAUGUGAAGACACCUUUAAAGGCUAUUAUAGGGCAUUGUAAUAAAGUACAUAGGAAUCAAUACUUUGGAAGUGUGCAGGCUGAUGGACUAACCACUGAGCCACUGGCCAGGGAUGCACAUGCCCUUGAUAACAGUUCCCUCCCUUGUCUCACUCUCCACUCCCUCACCAUAAUUUCUGGAAUAAUCUUCCAGGUAAACUAAGUGCACCAAGUUGUCUCUGUUUGCUUUGAAGGAACCCAAAAUGAGUGACAUUUGAAAAAAGUAAGUGAGGGAACUACCAUGUAGACAUCUGGGGAGAACCAGAGCAGAGGGAACAGGAAGGACAAAGGUCUUGGAGUAGGAGCCUGCCCAGGGGGUCCCAGAGUCUGAAAGGCCAGUUCUAACCUCAGUUCUCCAAUGUCUCCCAUCUGAAACAAUCCAUGUUCGACCAAGUUGUUCACAGAAAAGUGUCUCAGGUGUUGAACAAAACUUCUGUUCUCCACCCAACAGCCCUUUCAUGCUGACCGCUGCAUGGUGAGGCAUGCCUCUCUAGGGUGACAAAGGAGAGGAUGCACAAGUGUGAGUCACUGCCGCUAAGCCUCAUGCUGUUAACGUCUCAGGAAACUGCUCUGGGUGUUUCUGUGUUUUGCCUUUUUGCUGCUUAUUAUUAAGUAUCGGACAGUAAGUCAUCAUGGGUCCUAAGAAAAUCAGUGAUAGCAAAGUGAAGCGGAAAGUUGUGAGAACAACGAUAGAGCUUAAAAAAGAAAUAAUUGCAAAUUAUGACAAAGGUAUUCGUGUGUCUGAUCUGGCUACCAAGUAUGGCAUGACGAAAUCGAAAAUCAGCACAAUUCUAAAACAAAGAGGCCAUCAAGAAAGCUGAUGUUGCUAAGGGUGUGACAGUGCUCACAAAACAAUGAUCACAGGCAACUGAAGAGGUAGAAAAGUUGUUGUUGAUUUGGAUAAAUGAGAAAUAGCGAGCCGGUGACAGCAUUUCGGAGGCAAUGAUCUGCGAAAAAGCCAGGCUGCUGCAUACUGACCUCCUGAGAGACGCCCCUGGAGUGAGUGCACAGGGGGUUUGUUCAAGGCUAGCAGGGGGUGGUUCGACAAAUUUAAGAAAAGAAGUGGUAUUCGUCAUGUAGUGAGGCAUGGGGAGUCUGACCGCUCUAACAAAGCAGCUGCUGAUAAUUUUGUGACAGAAUUUCAAGAAUUCGUCAAGGCUGAGGGAUUUGUUCCCCAACAAGUGUUCAAUUGUGAUGAGACCGGCCUCUUCUGGAAGAAAAUGCCAAAGAGGACCCACACCACACAGGAGAAGUCACCGCCAGGACACGGACCGCUGACGGACCGGCCGACGUGGCUGUUGUGUGGGAAUGUGAGUGGGGACUGUGAAUUGGAGCCUCUGCUUGUCUACCGUUCUGAAGACCUCGAGUUUUCAGGAAAAACAAUGUCAUGGAAAACAGGUGGAACGUGAUGUGGAGGGCUAACAGCAAAGCUUGGGUGACCAGGCAGUUUUUUAUUGAGUGGGUUCAGGAAGUGUUUGCCCCAAGUGUGAGGCAAUACCUCCGGGAAAAACUGCUGCCACUAAGGGCACUGCUUGUCAUGGACGAGGCUCCUGCCACCCUCCGGGCCUGGAGGCUGAGCUGUCGGAGGCGCACGGCUUCAUCACGGCGAGGUUCUUGCCGCCUCCCAUAACCCCACUCAUCCAGCCCAGGGGCCAGCAGGUCACCGCUGACUUUAAGAAACUACACAAAGGCGCUGUUUCAGAGGUGUUUGGAGGUGACCUCUGAAACGCUUCUGACCCUCGGCGAGUUCUGGGAGGGACAUUUUCACAUCCUCGCUUGCUUGAGGCUCGUAGACGAAGCAUGGGGGGCAGUGCGUUCCGGGACCCUGUGGGCGGCCUGGAAGAAGCUGUGGCCCAAGUCUGUCGCCCACAGAGCCUGUGAGGACGAGCCCGGGUCUGUGGUGGAGGACAUUGUGUCUCUGGGCAGGUCCAUGGGCUUGGAGGUGGAUGGUGAUGAUGUGGAGGAGUUGGUGGAGGACCGCGGCACUGAGCUGACCACCGAGGAGCUCCAAGACCUUCAGAGGGAGGAGCAACAGCCGGCAGCUGAGGAGCGCUCUUCAGAGGGGAGGGAGGCUAUUCCCACUUCACUGAUCUAGGGGAUGCUUGGGAAAUGGGGAGAGAUGCAGCGUCUCAUUGGGAAAUAUCACCCUGACAAAGAGGUAGCAAACCGAGCAAUAAAUUUGUUCAAUGACAGUGCCGUGUGGCACUUCCGGCAAGUGUUAAACCGCAGGCAAAAGCAACUUCUGGGUAGGUUCUUAGUGAGACAGAGGCCCAGCGAGCCUGAGGCACGUUCUAGUGGAGCAAAGAGACGAAAGAGGAAGAACCCCAGAAUAGCCACCUGACGUUUUUAUGGACGGAGCUCCCCUUCCAAACAAGAACACCAUCCUCCACAUGCAGUCCUCGGUCACUCUCAGCGUUAAGUUCUAGUGUCUGUAAAUUUCCAUUUUUACUGUACAUUCCUUUUUGUUUCUUAUUUACUUAUAAAUAGUACAUUAGACGUGUACUGUAUGUAAGGUCAAAACAAAAUCAUUUGGGGUUCUAGAAUAGAUUCAAUUUACAGUUAAACUUCAGUUCUUGAACAUCUCUCAUCUCAAACAAUUCAAUUCUCAACCAAGUUGUUCAUGAAUAAUGUCUCAGUUGUUGAACAAAAUCUUCAGUUCUCAACCUGA